rnacentral:lncRNA from 1 species
CAGGGAAACAGCUUCCAGGAAGCCUCACCCUCCAGUGGCCAAGAAGCCUGGGGCAGCGUCCCUUGGGUGUCACCCAGCGAGGGUGGGGACAGUGAGGGAGGCUCCGCCUGCACACCUGGGCAGGCUGCGUUCAGGCUCGAGGUGGCUGGACUCACAUCUCCCUCGCAUCCUGUCACCCCGCUCCUCCCUUGCCGGCCCCUGUGGGCCCCCACCCGACGGGAGCUCACACAUAGGUGGUUGCCUCCACGUCUUAAUGCCCUCCCCCUGCGCGUCCCCAGGGCUGGCACACCCUGCAAUUACAGCUGCCGUUCCCCGCCUUCCCAUUGUGCCUGCCUCACCUCCCCACUCUCCCCGGCUAAUUACCAGAAACAUUUAUCGAGUGCCUAUGGCAUGUCAGGCACAGUUCAAGUUCUGAGGAUACAGAGUAAACAACAGGCAACAUCACGCCUCCUCGAGCUUCUGUUCUACUGGGAGUCAGGGUAGGAAGAGACGACAACAAGGCCCUCUUCACCUGCCAGCUGGGCAACAGCAGUUACUCUCAUUGGAGACCCUUUCCCUUCGCCACUUCCCAGGCUACUCCAGACUGAAUGCAUUCAGGGAGUCACCUCCCAGGUCAAAACCUGCUGUGAUACCAUCACCCUGCAGCACAGACCACAGUCCCAAGCCUCCCAUUCUUGACUCUAACACCAGCCCAGCCUGACCUGCUGCAGGGUGUGGCCUGUGACCACAUCUGUGCUCCGUCCACGCUGCUUCGUCCAGCCUCCCACGCCGAUCCCCAGAGUAGCUCCCCGGGAUGCUCUCUCCUCAUCACUGCAUCUGCCGCCCGCCCAGGCCCUCUGACUUUACCCUCCCGCAGGCCCCUCCCGUCUGAGGUGCUCUGGAAUGCCUGUGGUGUGAUUGUGCAUGAACUUUUACGUGCCUGCGUCCAUGCUCGAGAGCGGUCUUGCCUGAACCACCUUGUCUCAAUAAUCAGCAUGAAACUCCUCAAAAGAAACAGAGAGGCCCCUCAGAACAUCACGGAAAAGACGAUGGCUCCAAAACAGCUAGAUUCUAAUCCCAGCUCUGCUGCGGGGCGCGGCCUCGGGCACACCUGUGCUCCGUGCAUGUGACGUGACUCUCAAAAGCAUCCAUUUCCUCAUCUGGAAAACGGGACAGUUCCUGGACUCUGCGCACCUGGAAGUGACCAUGAGGGUCAAAUGUUUCUCAAACUGCAAAUGCUUUUCAGAUGCUGGCGCCGUGACCAAAGACCUGGCUCUUACAUCUGCUCUGUUUUCAUGGGACACAGCCCUGGGUAUACAGUAGGUGCUUAAUGCAGGUGACCGUGAGGAAGGGCUGUGGCCCGUGGAGGGCAGGCAGGUGGGAUUCAGCUGAGGUCCUCAAAGGCUGCACUAUGGGAAAGGCUGAGCGGCAGGAAAGGGACAGACAGGCCCUCCUCCUGGGGCCCAGGGCUGGGAACCAGAGCCCCUCCUUUGGCCACUCUGAGGUGGAAGAACAAGGAGCACAUAGGAGGAGUGGCCCAGGCUCUCCACCUGAGGACAUUCGGAGGACCUAGAAGCACUGGCAGAGCCUGAACGUGGCACCGUAGCCUCCUGCUGGCUGGAGAUGUGUCUGGGCGGUGUGUCUUGGCAUGGAAUCCACAGCCAGCUAGCCUGAGGCGGGGAUGGGGCCAGGACCCCCGGCUGUACAGACGGAGAGCCAGAGGCGGUUGCAGGUUCCCAACCGACAGCGGAGCUGAUGAGUGGCGGGGCUUUCAUUUGUUGACAGGAGAUGCAUGUCUGAGGCCAGAGCCAACUUCUUCCAGGGAGCGGCUUCCUUCCUCCUCAAAGGACACAGGGGACACAGAUGUCCAGGAGGCUGUUUAGAGAGGGCCCGAGUGGUGAGCUGUGCAGGGGUCCUCACGCCCCGGCCCCGUCUUGGAUAUGGGGCUGGAGACUUAGGAAGUGAGUGCUGGGUCCUGGGGUUCCCUCAUCCGCCUUCAGGAAGAUGUGAAGGGGCUUCCUGCGGCCUUUGGCAGCAUUCAUCCCAAACCCCAAAGCCUCCUUCCCCUGGCUCCGUGGCAGGAGCAGUUGCAUUCUCCUGUCUGAGAGGGGCCACCUCCUUCCCACCUUGCCCUCUAAGUUGGCUCAGGCUGCGCAGGGCUCAGGCUGAGGUCCAGACCCUCAUGCCAGCUUGGUGCUUGGCCAGAGCUGCAAAAUUGGAGCUGGGCUGCCAGGGGGAGGGCACCGCUGAGGCCUUCUAGGCCCAGACGGGCUGAGAGAGCCCCCGCCCCCCACCCCAGCCUCACCCUCCACCCGAGGCCCCUGUCAUGGGUGUGGGUGACUCAGAGGAAGUUCUGGUUUCUGUCAGAUUUUGAGGCUGAGGCAACCUGAUCCUGAAACAAUGACAAGCCUCAGAACGGUCCUUCCCACUCCCUCAGAGGAGCGUUUCAGGCCUGGCCAAUAACACAGCAGAACGGAAAAUGACUUUGGGAAGGAAAGGUCAGGCGGCUAGGCCUCCCAUGGAAGGCAGCAGGCGGUUGCUCAGGUCAGAGGGCCAAGUGGCGCGGUCUGUGGGCACCGGCAGCUGGCAGUGACCCUGCAGAUCAACCUGGGCCCGGGCUGCAGACACCAAGCAGGGGCACCUGCCUGGCCUGGCUGCCUCAUGUGGCCCCCACAGCCUUUGUCAGGACACCUCAGGACAGUGGCCUGGCCUCUAGGCCAGUGGGCCAGCUCGGGGUGCUAAAGCCUAAUUUGCCUGGAGCCCCGGGCCACUCAUAGAUUCAGGAGGAAGAGGUGGGGUAGAGGUGGCAGAGGGAGAGCAGAGCCUGGCACACAGCAUUUGGCACCAUAACUGAGGCAGCUGCUUUCCUUAAGGAGCUGCCACUGACAGGAUCAGCACUUACAGAGCCCCUGCUGUAUGCCAGGAAGUACAUUUAUUAUUGCUUCUUGUCACAUUGGCCCUGCCAGGUAUGUACCCCAAACAUUAGCCUCAUUUCACAGAUAAGAAAAUUGAGGCUUCCGUGAUUAAGCAGAGGCUGUGAUGUCCCAUCCAGAGCCCCAGCCACCCAGCUCUCCUGCAGGACAGGAGAUACCUACUAGCCUGCUUCUCGAUUAUUCUUUUCUUCCCUGCCACCUUGGGAAUAUCCCUCCCACUUGCAAGCACAGGUCGGCUAUGCCAGGGGAGUCUGUGCCCCAGGGCCCCUUCAUCCAUGGGGAUGGGAGUCUGUAGAAAUGCUCACCUCCGCCCUCUCCAGUGGGGACAUUGGAGGCCUGUGUCCCACAGUCUCCCUGAGGGCCCAGUGGGUUGAGCCCAUUGCCCGCAGUGGAAACCCCUCAUUCAUGGACCUGUCUCCCUCCCCUGCCUCCCCCUCCACCUCCACCCCUGCCCUGCCCUUCCUCGGAUCACUUCAUGCACCCAAGUCCUCAUUGCAGUCUGCUUGAGGGGGAUCCCACAUGUAGCCAUGCCCCUUCCAGGCAGAGAGAAGCAGCACAGGCCCCUGGCUGAGUGUGCCACGGCGGGUGCAGCAGGAGUGCAAACGCAGAGUUCAACUCGGCAUCCAGCUGGAACCCAUGUUAACUUGCGUUUGACCAGCGUAAGAGAGACAAGAAGAUGAGUAGAACUGUAGCAGUCAAAAUGCUUCAGCUGCAGGUAAUAGGAAGUCCAGCUCAAACCGGUUUAAGCGGAGGCCAGGGGCUGCAGGGUGGGCAUCUCCCAUGGCACCUGCUCUGGUCCCUCAGUCCCCCUGAGUGGUGCACACUUCCCUCCACAAGGUGUGUUGCCGGGUGGCCACGGCUGUCCUGGGCUCGCAUUUGCUCAUGACAGUGUCUGGAGAGCUCCGCCUUUGAGGGCUCUUCCUGGGGCCUCUAACGAGAGAGGACUGGGGGGACCACGACAAAAAAUAUCUGGGUUCUUGAGACAGCAGAAAAGGUGGUGGAAGCUGGGUGAGUAGCCAGACAGUAUCUACUAGAAUUUUUUUUUCUCCAAUUUAAGUUUCUCCCUGGUGAGUUCUUAACCCGCCGCUGACUGGCCAAUGCUAGCAGACGGACACAGGGAACAAACAAGUGGCAUAUUAAUCUUCAUGGAAAAGCCUAGAAACGGGCAGUCCUUUCACAGCAGUUCUGUGUCUACAGUGAACACAUGGGCUGUGUUUAACUGUGUAAACACAAUAAAGUUGUGUUAUGGAAGUGAACUUGUUCCUGACUGGCAGAUGGAUUUAAAUGUAAGAGUGGUCCAUGGGCCCCUCCACGGAGCUGAUGCUGCCCCAGCAUCCUUCCUAUGGCCCUUCAGCCUCUGGCUAUUGGUCUUCCUGUAUCCAUGCACGGCUGAGCUGGAGGCCAACACAGGAGCAGCCAUUCCAGGCAGGUCUGGGCAGGGGUCCCUGGCGUGUAGCUCUGGAGGGAGUGGGGCUGUGUAAGCUCAGCGUCUUGUCUCCCUCACUGAAAAUACAGGACACA